GCAGACACAUUCCAGCCAAUCAGCAGCAGACCCUCCCUCCCAGACCCUCCCACCCCCUGGACAGCAUCCAUUUUGAAGCUGCAUUCUUAGUGAGCUGUCCAGGAGGUGGGAGGGUCUGGGAGGGAGGGUUUGCUGCUGAUUGGCUGGAAUGUGUCUG